rnacentral:rRNA from 1 species
GAGUGCUUGCUACUUUGCCGGCGAGCGGCGGACGGGUGAGUAAUGUCUGGGAAACUGCCCGAUGGAGGGGGAUAACUACUGGAAACGGUGGCUAAUACCGCAUAACGUCUUCGGACCAAAGUGGGGGACCUUCGGGCCUCACGCCAUCGGAUGUGCCCAGAUGGGAUUAGCUAGUAGGUGGGGUAAUGGCUCACCUAGGCGACGAUCCCUAGCUGGUCUGAGAGGAUGACCAGCCACACUGGGACUGAGACACGGCCCAGACUCCUACGGGAGGCAGCAGUGGGGAAUAUUGCAC